GACGAACGCUGGCGGCGUGCCUAAUACAUGCAAGUAGAGCGCUGAAGAGAGGAGCUUGCUCUUCUUGGAUGAGUUGCGAACGGGUGAGUAACGCGUAGGUAACCUGCCUUGUAGCGGGGGAUAACUAUUGGAAACGAUAGCUAAUACCGCAUAACAAUAGGUGACACAUGUCAUUUAUUUGAAAGGGGCAAUUGCUCCACUACAAGAUGGACCUGCGUUGUAUUAGCUAGUAGGUGAGGUAACGGCUCACCUAGGCGACGAUACAUAGCCGACCUGAGAGGGUGAUCGGCCACACUGGGACUGAGACACGGCCCAGACUCCUACGGGAGGCAGCAGUAGGGAAUCUUCGGCAAUGGGGGCAACCCUGACCGAGCAACGCCGCGUGAGUGAAGAAGGUUUUCGGAUCGUAAAGCUCUGUUGUAAGUCAAGAACGAGUGUGAGAGUGGAAAGUUCACACUGUGACGGUAGCUUACCAGAAAGGGACGGCUAACUACGUG
rnacentral:rRNA from 1 species